rnacentral:rRNA from 1 species
AUUGAACGCUGGCGGCAUGCCUUACACAUGCAAGUCGAACGGCAGCACGGGAGCAAUCCUGGUGGCGAGUGGCGAACGGGUGAGUAAUAUAUCGGAACGUGCCCAGUCGUGGGGAUAACGUAGCGAAAGCUACGCUAAUACCGCAUACUAUCUAUGGAUGAAAGCGGGGGAUCGCAAGACCUCGCGCGAUUGGAGCGGCCGAUAUCAGAUUAGGUAGUUGGUGAGGUAAAGGCUCACCAAGCCGACGAUCUGUAGCUGGUCUGAGAGGACGACCAGCCACACUGGGACUGAGACACGGCCCAGACUCCUACGGGAGGCAGCAGUGGGGAAUUUUGGGACAAUGGGCGCAAGCCUGAUCCAGCAAUGCCGCGUGCAGGAUGAAGGCCUUCGGGUUGU